AGAAAAAGCGCCGGCUAACUACGUGCCAGCAGCCGCGGUAAUACGUAGGGCGCAAGCGUUAUCCGGAAUUAUUGGGCGUAAAGAGCUCGUAGGCGGUUUGUCGCGUCUGCUGUGAAAUCCCGAGGCUCAACCUCGGGCCUGCAGUGGGUACGGGCAGACUAGAGUGCGGUAGGGGAGAUUGGAAUUCCUGGUGUAGCGGUGGAAUGCGCAGAUAUCAGGAGGAACACCGAUGGCGAAGGCAGAUCUCUGGGCCGUAACUGACGCUGAGGAGCGAAAGGGUGGGGAGCAAACAGGCUUAGAUACCCUGGUAGUCCACCCCGUAAACGUUGGGAACUAGUUGUGGGGUCCAUUCCACGGAUUCCGUGACGCAGCUAACGCAUUAAGUUCCCCGCCUGGGGAGUACGGCCGCAAGGCUAAAACUCAAAGGAAUUGACGGGGACCCGCACAAGCGGCGGAGCAUGCGGAUUAAUUCGAUGCAACGCGAAGAACCUUACCAAGGCUUGACAUAUACGAGAACGGGCCAGAAAUGGUCAACUCUUUGGACACUCGUAAACAGGUGGUGCAUGGUUGUCGUCAGCUCGUGUCGUGAGAUGUUGGGUUAA
rnacentral:rRNA from 1 species